GACGAACGCUGGCGGCGUGCCUAACACAUGCAAGUCGAACGGAAAGGCCCUGCUUUUGUGGGGUGCUCGAGUGGCGAACGGGUGAGUAACACGUGAGUAACCUGCCCUUGACUUUGGGAUAACUUCAGGAAACUGGGGCUAAUACCGGAUAGGAGCUCCUGCUGCAUGGUGGGGGUUGGAAAGUUUCGGCGGUUGGGGAUGGACUCGCGGCUUAUCAGCUUGUUGGUGGGGUAGUGGCUUACCAAGGCUUUGACGGGUAGCCGGCCUGAGAGGGUGACCGGCCACAUUGGGACUGAGAGACGGCCCCGACUCCUACGGGAGGCAGCAGUGGGGAAUAUUGCACAAUGGGCGGAAGCCUUAUGCAGCAACGCCGCGUGCGGGAUGACGGCCUUCGGGUUGUAAACCGCUUUCGCCUGUGACGAAGCGUGAGUGACGGUAAUGGGUAAAGAAGCACCGGCUAACUACGUG
rnacentral:rRNA from 1 species